CUACCAGCUGAAACCCCCCUUUUCUCCACCCAACUUUACACCACUCUCUUAGCAUGGGUGGCUGUAAGUACACUAGGGCAAACAUAAGUUUCCUUUUCUUUGGGUAGGUUUUUAUUUUUUAUUUUUUAUUAUUAUUAUUUUUUUCAGUUGUCCCCGCCAUCUUUAACCUGACCCCCAUUAGUACUAUCCUGACUAGCUCACUGUAAACUGAAAAAAAUUAUCAAACUGUCAACCAAAAGUAAACACAUCACCUGUAGGUACAGUAGAGUAAAGCUAAGUUUCCUUUUGUUUGGGUAUUUUUUUUUUUCUUCUUCAGUUGUCUCUGCCAUCUUUGACCUGACCAUUAGUGCUGUCCUGACUAGCUCACUUAUGAGCAGAAAAAAAUUAUCAAACCGUCAACCAGAAGUAAACACAUCACUUUGGACCACUCAAAGACACAGUCUACCUGCUGUUUAACCCAGUCUUUGGUCAGAGGUGAAGAAGAGAUGACAUCCUCCACACCAUCCCCCUGCUGCUCUCAACAACCAUCAUCGCUGUGCUGGACAGAUUGCAGCACCCACCAGGACCCUUCUCUCAUGGACUACACAAACAUGUGUUUUACCUGCUCAUGCUCCAGAUGUCCUGAAGCAGCUCUCAAGGACCACCAGACACCAGGCUGAAGCAGAACUGAUGCUGUAGUACCUGUCACUCACUGGGCUCGUUCCUGCUGAACCUCCAAGAGAUAAACCCCUCUUCAAGAACGUCUGAGGUAAUGUCUUAGUGAACUUGUGUUCAUUUAUUUUUUCUUAGUUAUCUUAGCUGCUGUAUUAAUGCUUGUGACGCUAUUGUACAGCUCUGCUGAUAUCAUCGUCUUUAACAGCAGUGUUUUCUCCCAGGUCUUCUUCAAGCCAGUUAAGAGAGGAAGAACAGCUUAGACACUCAGGCAGCUGAACGCACCAAAGGUGGACAUCAUGCAGCCACCCUGAGCCUUGAGCCUCUCUGUGUGAGGAAGCUUUGCUGCUGCAGACCUGGUGAAGUUGCUCUGGACAGAAAUAUUUUUGCUCUGCUGCAGUGCUGAAG